AAAACUCUGUGAUGAUUCCUCAAGGACGGUAUCUGAGUGAGGUUGUGCUGGAAAAGCCUUCCUCCAAUGAUUACAUCCAAACUGACAAGGAAUUCUGAGUAUAAC
rfam:Dichanthelium oligosanthes cultivar Kellogg 1175 unplaced genomic scaffold Do_version_2_scaffold344, whole genome shotgun sequence.